rnacentral:rRNA from 1 species
AGUCGAGCGGAACGAUGGUAGCUUGCUACCAGGCGUCGAGCGGCGGACGGGUGAGUAAUACUUAGGAAUCUACCUAGUAGUGGGGGAUAGCUCGGGGAAACUCGAAUUAAUACCGCAUACGACCUACGGGAGAAAGGGGGCAACUUGUUGCUCUCGCUAUUAGAUGAGCCUAAGUCGGAUUAGCUAGAUGGUGGGGUAAAGGCCUACCAUGGCGACGAUCUGUAGCUGGUCUGAGAGGAUGAUCAGCCACACCGGGACUGAGACACGGCCCGGACUCCUACGGGAGGCAGCAGUGGGGAAUAUUGGACAAUGGGGGAAACCCUGAUCCAGCCAUGCCGCGUGUGUGAAGAAGGCCUUUUGGUUGUAAAGCACUUUAAGCAGUGAAGAAGACUCCUCGGUUAAUACCCGUGGACGAUGGCAUUAGCUGCAGAAUAAGCACCGGCUAACUCUGUGCCAGCAGCCGCGGUAAUACAGAGGGUGCAAGCGUUAAUCGGAAUUACUGGGCGUAAAGCGAGCGUAGGUGGCUUGAUAAGUCAGAUGUGAAAUCCCCGGGCUUAACCUGGGAACUGCAUCUGAAACUGUUAGGCUAGAGUAGGUGAGAGGAAGGUAGAAUUCCAGGUGUAGCGGUGAAAUGCGUAGAGAUCUGGAGGAAUACCGAUGGCGAAGGCAGCCUUCUGGCAUCAUACUGACACUGAGGCCCGAAAGCGUGGGUGGCAAACAGGAUUAGAUACCCUGGUAGUCCACGCCGUAAACGAUGUCUACUAGUCGUUGGGUCCCUUGAGGACUUAGUGACGCAGCUAACGCAAUAAGUAGACCGCCUGGGGAGUACGGCCGCAAGGUUAAAACUCAAAUGAAUUGACGGGGGCCCGCACAAGCGGUGGAGCAUGUGGUUUAAUUCGAUGCAACGCGAAGAACCUUACCUGGUCUUGACAUAUCUAGAAUCCUGCAGAGAUGCGGGAGUGCCUUCGGGAAUUAGAAUACAGGUGCUGCAUGGCUGUCGUCAGCUCGUGUCGUGAGAUGUUGGGUUAAGUCCCGCAACGAGCGCAACCCUUGUCCUUAGUUACCAGCGGGUUAAGCCGGGAACUUUAAGGAUACUGCCAGUGACAAACUGGAGGAGGGCGGGGACGACGUCAAGUCAUCAUGGCCCUUACGACCAGGGCUACACACGUGCUACAAUGGUAGGUACAGAGGGCAGCUACACAGCGAUGUGAUGCGAAUCUCAAAAAGCCUAUCGUGGUCCAGAUUGGAGUUUGCAACUUGACUCCAUGAAGUAGGAAUCGCUAGUAAUCGCGGAUCAGAA